rnacentral:rRNA from 1 species
UACGAAGGGUGCAACCGUUGCUCGGAAUUAUUGGGCGUAAAGCGCACGUAGGCGGCAUUGCAAGUCGGAUGUGAAAUCCCUCGGCUUAACCAAGGAAGUGCAUCCGAAACUGCAGUGCUUGAGUACUUAAGAGGAACGCGGAAUUCCCGGUGUAGAGGUGAAAUUCGUAGAUAUCGGGAGGAACACCGGUGGCGAAGGCGGCAUCCUGGACCGCCACUGACACUGAGGAGCGAAAGCCAGGGGAGCAAACGGG